rnacentral:ncRNA from 1 species
UAGUGGCAUGUGGCGAGGUUAACCCGGGUGGGGAAGCCGUAGCGAAAAGCGAGUCCGAACGGAGGCGCACCAGUCGCGUGCUCUAGACCCGAAGCGGAGUGAUCUACCCAUGGGCAGGUUGAAGCACGUGUAAGAGCGUGUGGAGGACCGAACCCACUUAGGUUGAAAACUGAGGGGAUGACCUGUGGGUAGGGGUGAAAGGCCAAUCAAACUCCGUGAUAGCUGGUUCUCCCCCGAAAUGCAUUUAGGUGCAGCGUCAUGUGUUUCUUGCCGGAGGUAGAGCUACUGGAUGGCCGAUGGGCCCUACAAGGUUACUGACGUCAACCAAACUCCGAAUGCCGGUAAGUGAGAGCAUGGCAGUGAGACUGCGGGGCGUAAGGUUCUGGUCAGAGGGGAAACACCCAGACCACCGGCUAAGGCCCCCAAGCGUGUGUAAG